UACGUAGGGUGCGAGCGUUAAUCGGAAUUACUGGGCGUAAAGUGUGCGCAGGCGGCCGCGCAAGUCGAGUGUGAAAGCCCCGAGCUUAACUUGGGAAUUGCGCUCGAAACUACGUGGCUGGAGUGUGGCAGAGGAAGGUGGAAUUCCAGGUGUAGCGGUGAAAUGCGUAGAGAUCUGGAGGAACACCGAUGGCGAAGGCAGCUCACUGGACAGUCACUGACACUCAACUGCGAAAGCGUGGGGAGCAAACAGG
rnacentral:rRNA from 1 species